UGGUUCCGCGCCGACAAUGUAGCGGGGCUCAAGCACACCACCGAAGACGCGGCAGUAUUUUGUACUGGGUAGGAGAGCGUCCCAUGAGGGGCGAAGCGGCCGUGUGAACGCGCCGUGGACUUCAUGGGAGUGAGAAUGCAGACAUGAGUAGCGAGAGACGGGUGAAGAUCCCGUCCGCUGGAUGACCAAGGGUUCCAGGGCCACGUUCAUCGUCCCUGGGUGAGUCGGGUCCUAAGGCGAGGCCGACAGGCGUAGUCGAAUGGAUGAACGGGUCGAUAUUCCCGUACCGGCUUUCAGCCGCCAAAACCGAGGCUUGGAGUACUAACCUCCGGGUCCGGGCUUACUGCUCCUUCGGGGGCGGGAUGCCCUGGCCUGUUGGGACCGAUCCUUGUAGUAGGUCAGCGCAGGAGUGACGCAGAAGGGUAGCCGGCCGCGGAGGUGGUCUUCCGUGGUCAAGCACGCAGGGCGUGGGACAGGCAAAUCCGUCCCGCAUGGGUCCGAGGUGCGAUGAUGGGGGCCUUAUGGCCCGAUAUCCGGUGAUCCCGGCUGCCGAGAAAAGCUUCGGCGUCAGGCUCAAAGCCGCCCGUACCCCAAACCGACACUGGUGGUCAGGUAGAGAAUACCAAAGCGAUCGAGCGAAUCCUGGUCAAGGAACUCGGCAAAUCACUCCCGUUCCUUCGGUUUAAGGGAGACCCCCGAUGGUGAACACACUUGCUGUGGGAGCUUUUGGGGGUGGCACAGACCAGGGGGUAGCGACUGUUUACCAAAAACACAGGUGCAUGCGAAGGCGCAAGCCGCUGUAUAUGCACUGACGCCUGCCCGGUGCCGGAAGGUUAAGAGGAUCCGUCAGCCUUCGGGUGAAGCGGUGAAUUCAAGCCCCGGUAAACGGCGGUGGUAACUAUAACCAUCCUAAGGUAGCGAAAUUCCUUGUCGGGUAAGUUCCGACCUGCACGAAUGGCGUAACGACUUCCCCACUGUCUCGACCAGGAGCUCGGCGAAAUUGCAGUACGAGUAAAGAUGCUCGUUAAGCGCAGAAGGACGAAAAGACCCCGGGACCUUUACUAUACCUUGGUAUUGGCAUUCGGUGUGGAUUGUGUAGCAUAGGCGGGAGGCCGAGAGGCGCGGUCGCCAGAUCGCGCGGAGCCGUAAGGUGAAAUACCGCUCUGUUCGCAUUGGAUGUCUAACCUCGAACAGUCAUCCUGUUCAGGGACAGUGCCUGGCGGGUAGUUUAACUGGGGCGGUUGCCUCCCAAAGAGUAACGGAGGCGCCCAAAGGUCCGCUCAGCCCGGUUGGCAAUCGGGUGGCGAGUGCAAGUGCACAAGCGGGCUUGACUGCGAGGACGACGGUCCGAGCAGGGACGAAAGUCGGGACUAGUGAUCCGGUGCCGGUGUACGGACGCGGCAUCGCUCAACGGAUAAAAGGUACCCCGGGGAUAACAGGCUGAUCAUUCCCAAGAGUCCAUAUCGACGGGAUGGUUUGGCACCUCGAUGUCGGCUCGUCGCAUCCUGGGGCUGGAGCAGGUCCCAAGGGUUCGGCUGUUCGCCGAUUAAAGCGGCACGCGAGCUGGGUUCAGAACGUCGUGAGACAGUUUGGUCUCUAUCCUCUGCGCUCGUUGGAAUCCUGAGGAGGCCUGCCCAUAGUACGAGAGGACCUGGGUGGACGAACCUCUGGUAUGCCGGUUGUCACGCCAGUGGCACGGCCGGUUGGCUACGUUCGGAAGGGAUAACCGCUGAAAGCAUCUAAGCGGGAAGCCUGCUCCAAGAUAAGCAUUCCGUGGAACCUUCGAGUUCCUGUAGUCCCCAUGCAGAACACGUGGUCGAUAGGCCGGACGUGGAAGCCCCGCGAGGGGUGGAGCCGACCGGUACUAACGGACGAAAGGCAACACUA
rnacentral:rRNA from 1 species